rnacentral:rRNA from 1 species
UAUCGGAUUACUGGGCGUAAGCGCACGCAGGCGGUCUGUUAAGUCAGAUGUGAAAUCCCCGGGCUUAACCUGGGAACUGCAUUUGAAACUGGCAGGCUUGAGUCUCGUAGAGGGGGGUAGAAUUCCAGGUGUAGCGGUGAAAUGCGUAGAGAUCUGGAGGAAUACCGGUGGCGAAGGCGGCCCCCUGGACGAAGACUGACGCUCAGGUGCGAAAGCGUGGGGAGCAAACAGGAUUAGAUACCCUGGUAGUCCACGCCGUAAACGAUGUCGACUUGGAGGUUGUUCCCUUGAGGAGUGGCUUCCGGAGCUAACGCGUUAAGUCGACCGCCUGGGGAGUACGGCCGCAAGGUUAAAACUCAAAUGAAUUGACGGGGGCCCGCACAAGCGGUGGAGCAUGUGGUUUAAUUCGAUGCAACGCGAAGAACCUUACCUACUCUUGACAUCCA